CUUUGUUUAAACUGCUUUUGCAUCUUCCAUCUCACCCUCUCUGUGUUCCAUCAAGGUUUCCUCAUGUGGUUCUCUCAUGGGCUCCUCUGUGCUCUCUGCCCACAGCCUCCUGGAGGUGCCAUACUGACUGCAGGGCUCGAGCAGAGCCCUGCAAAGCUGGCAGCUGCCAGAAGGAUUUGUUCCAUCCCUGAAUACCUGCGCCGCUGCUUCCCCCCGUGCUGCUGUCAGCAGAGGAACAAACAGGUUCACACCUGCUGCAUAGCUGGCCUUGGAGGAAUGCAUGUGCAAAUUUGGCAGGUUAAAUGCUUGAAGGAAUUGCAGAGUCAGGCUCCUGGAAAAUGAGGGCACACACCAAAAAAUCAGCACCUCAGCACAGGAGCAGGUGAGAAGAUCAGGUGCAGAGAGGUAAGCCAGUGCAAAGCCUUUUAUCCCACUCUUCCUGCAGCCCAGGAAGGAUGCAGAGAUUGCAGAGGGGAGCAGUAUUGCUGUCCCUGCACAGCAGCACCUACCUGGCCACCAAUUUAUCCCCUGGGACGGUUCCCUGUGCAGCUCUGCCCAGGCUUUGAGAAAGCUGUUCCAGCACUCACAUCUGCUGGCUUGGCAGUGCUGCUCUUGCCCUGCCAGGGCCAGUGGGACGGCUUGCAGUGCAGGCUGGAAGCGUUCCCUGGGCUCCCAUGGCUUUUCCUUUGAGGGAGGAGCUGAGAGAUGCCUCAGCUUUGGAGCUGAGUUCUCUGCUGGCACUUGUCACUCCUUGAGUAUUCUGGGCUGGAGCUUGUGCUCUGGUGUAAGAAAAUAAAUCCGCCUCUGAGGAGGCUGGAAGAAAAGUC
rnacentral:lncRNA from 1 species